UACGGAGGGUGCAAACGUUGCUCGGAAUCAUUGGGCGUAAAGCGCACGUAGGCGGUCGGCUAUGUCGGAUGUGAAAGCCUCGGGCUUAACCCGAGAAGGGCGUCCGAAACUGGCCGGCUUGAGUACAGAAGAGGGUCUCGGAAUUCCCGGUGUAGAGGUGAAAUUCGUAGAUAUCGGGAGGAACACCAGUGGCGAAGGCGGAGACCUGGGCCGAUACUGACGCUGAGGUGCGAAAGCGUGGGGAGCAAACAGG
rnacentral:rRNA from 1 species